UGAAUACGAGAUGCUACGGCGUCGAAGCAGUGUAUGUCAGACUUCCAAGAAAAGCUCGCAAUGUCAUAAAUAAAGAAUGCCUGUACCAUAACCGACACAGGUGGGUAGGUAGAGUAUACUAAGGGGCGCGAGAUAACUCUCUCUAAGGAACUCGGCAAAAUAACUCCGUAACUUCGGGAGAAGGAGUGCCUUCUUUAAGAAGGUUGCAAUAACAAGAUCCAAGCAACUGUUUAUCAAAAACACAGGUCUCCGCUAAGUCGUAAGACGAUGUAUGGGGGCUGACGCCUGCCCAGUGCCAGAAGGUUAAAGAAGUUGGUUAGCUUUUGGGAAGCUGAUGACUGAAGCCCUGGUGAACGGCGGCCGUAACAAUAACGGUCCUAAGGUAGCGAAAUUCCUUGUCGGGUAAGUUCCGACCCGCACGAAAGGCGUAAUGAUUUGGAUACUGUCUCGGAGAGGGACUCGGUGAAAUAGACUUGUCUGUGAAGAUGCGGACUACCUGCACCAGGACAGAAAGACCCUAUGAAGCUUUACUGUAACUUGAAAUUGAAAUUGGACUUUAUUUGCGCAGUAUAGGUGGAAGGCGUUGAAAGUAAUCUUGCGGGAUUAGUGGAGCCAUCAGUGAGAUACCACUCCUAUAAUGUUAGAUUUCUAACUUUGGAUCAUGAUCUGGUCAAAGAACAGUUUCAGGCGGGCAGUUUGACUGGGGCGGUCGCCUCCCAAAUGGUAACGGAGGCGUACAAAGGUUUCCUCUGAACGGGUAGAAAUCGUAUCUAGAGUGUAAAGGCAUAAGGAAGCUUGACUGUGAGACCUACAAGUCGAGCAGGGACGGAAGUCGGUCUUAGUGAUCUGACGGUGCUGAGUGGAAAGGCCGUCACUCAACGGAUAAAAGUUACUCUAGGGAUAACAGGCUGAUCUCCCCCAAGAGUUCACAUCGACGGGGAGGUUUGGCACCUCGAUGUCGGCUCAUCGCAUCCUGGGGCGGUAGUACGUCCCAAGGGUUGGGCUGUUCGCCCAUGAAAGCGGUACGCGAGCUCGGUUCAGAACGUCGUGAGACAGUUCGGUCCAUAUCCGGUGUAGGCGUUAGAAUAUUGAGAGGAGCCUUCUUUAGUACGAGAGGACCGAGAAGGACAUACCUCUGGUGUACCAGUUAUCGUGCCAACGGUAAACGCUGGGUAGCUAUGUAUGGAGAGGAUAACCGCUGAAAGCAUCUAAGUGGGAAGCCCACCUCAAGAUGAGUAUUCAC
rnacentral:rRNA from 1 species